GAUGAACGCUGGCGGCGUGCCUAAUGCAUGCAAGUCGAGCGAACAGACGAGGAGCUUGCUCCUCUGACGUUAGCGGCGGACGGGUGAGUAACACGUGGAUAACCUACCUAUAAGACUGGGAUAACUUCGGGAAACCGGAGCUAAUACCGGAUAAUAUAUUGAACCGCAUGGUUCAAUAGUGAAAGACGGUUUUGCUGUCACUUAUAGAUGGAUCCGCGCCGCAUUAGCUAGUUGGUAAGGUAACGGCUUACCAAGGCAACGAUGCGUAGCCGACCUGAGAGGGUGAUCGGCCACACUGGAACUGAGACACGGUCCAGACUCCUACGGGAGGCAGCAGUAGGGAAUCUUCCGCAAAGGGCGAAAGCUUGACGGAGCAACGCCGCGUGAGUGAUGAAGGUCUUCGGAUCGUAAAACUCUGUUAUUAGGGAAGAACAAAUGUGUAAGUAACUAUGCACGUCUUGACGGUACCUAAUCAGAAAGCCACGGCUAACUACGUG
rnacentral:rRNA from 1 species